rnacentral:rRNA from 1 species
GACGAACGCUGGCGGCGUGCUUAACACAUGCAAGUCGAACGGAAAGGCCCUGCUUUUGUGGGGUGCUCGAGUGGCGAACGGGUGAGUAACACGUGAGUAGCCUGCCCUUGACUUUGGGAUAACUUCAGGAAACUGGGGCUAAUACCGGAUAGGAGCUCCUGCUGCAUGGUGGGGGUUGGAAAGUUUCGGCGGUUGGGGAUGGACUCGCGGCUUAUCAGCUUGUUGGUGGGGUAGUGGCUUACCAAGGCUUUGACGGGUAGCCGGCCUGAGAGGGUGACCGGCCACAUUGGGACUGAGAUACGGCCCAGACUCCUACGGGAGGCAGCAGUGGGGAAUAUUGCACAAUGGGCGGAAGCCUGAUGCAGCAACGCCGCGUGCGGGAUGACGGCCUUCGGGUUGUAAACCGCUUUCGCCUGUGACGAAGCGUGAGUGACGGUAAUGGGUAAAGAAGCACCGGCUAACUACGUGCCAGCAGCCGCGGUGAUACGUAGGGUGCGAGCGUUGUCCGGAUUUAUUGGGCGUAAAGGGCUCGUAGGUGGUUGAUCGCGUCGGAAGUGUAAUCUUGGGGCUUAACCCUGAGCGUGCUUUCGAUACGGGUUGACUUGAGGAAGGUAGGGGAGAAUGGAAUUCCUGGUGGAGCGGUGGAAUGCGCAGAUAUCAGGAGGAACACCAGUGGCGAAGGCGGUUCUCUGGGCCUUUCCUGACGCUGAGGAGCGAAAGCGUGGGGAGCGAACAGGCUUAGAUACCCUGGUAGUCCACGCUGUAAACGGUGGGUACUAGGUGUGAGGUCCAUUCCACGGGUUCCGUGCCGUAGCUAACGCUUUAAGUACCCCGCCUGGGGAGUACGGCCGCAAGGCUAAAACUCAAAGGAAUUGACGGGGCCCCGCACAAGCGGCGGAGCAUGCGGAUUAAUUCGAUGCAACGCGUAGAACCUUACCUGGGUUUGACUUGGAUCGGGAGUGCUCAGAGAUGGGUGUGCCUCUUUUGGGGUCGGUUCACAGGUGGUGCAUGGCUGUCGUCAGCUCGUGUCGUGAGAUGUUGGGUUAAGUCCCGCAACGAGCGCAACCCUUGUUCACUGUUGCCAGCACGUUAUGGUGGGGACUCAGUGGAGACCGCCGGGGUCAACUCGGAGGAAGGUGGGGAUGACGUCAAGUCAUCAUGCCCCUUAUGUCCAGGGCUUCACGCAUGCUACAAUGGCUGGUACAGAGAGUGGCGAGCCUGUGAGGGUGAGCGAAUCUCGGAAAGCCGGUCUCAGUUCGGAUUGGGGUCUGCAACUCGACCUCAUGAAGUCGGAGUCGCUAGUAAUCGCAGAUCAGCAACGCUGCGGUGAAUACGUUCCCGGGGCU